rnacentral:misc_RNA from 1 species
GAUGAAGAACGUAGCGAAAUGCGAUACGUAAUGUGAAUUGCAGAAUUCAGUGAAUCAUCGAGUCUUUGAACGCACAUUGCGCCCUUUGGUAUUCCUUAGGGCAUGCCUGUUCGAGCGUCAUUUAAACCUUCAAGCUAAGCUUGGUGUUGGGUGACUGUCCGCUUCACGGCGGACUCGCCUCAAAAUUAUUGGCGGCCGGUACAUUGGCUUCGAGCGCAGCAGAAACGCGAACUCGGGCCCGUCGUAUUGGCUCCCAGAAGCUAUCUUCACAAUUUUGACCUCGGAUCAGGUAGGGAUACCCGCUGAACUUAAGCAUAUCAAUAAGCGGAGGA